rnacentral:rRNA from 1 species
GAUGAACGCUGGCGGCGUGCCUAACACAUGCAAGUCGAACGAAGCACCUUACCUGAUUCUUCGGAUGAAAGUUUGGUGACUGAGUGGCGGACGGGUGAGUAACGCGUGGGUAACCUGCCCUGUACAGGGGGAUAACAGCGGGAAACGGCUGCUAAUACCGCAUAAGCGCACGAGGAGACAUCUCCUUGUGUGAACAACUCCGGUGGUACAGGAUGGGCCCGCGUCUGAUUAGCUGGUUGGCAGGGUAACGGACUACCAAGGCAACGAUCAGUAGCCGGUCUGAGAGGAUGAACGGACACAUUGGAACUGAGACACGGUGCAAACUCCUACGAGAGGCAGAAGGGGGGAAUAUUGAACAAUGGGGGAAACAAUGAGGCAGCAACGCCGCGUGAGUGAAGAAGUAUUUCGGUAUGUAAAGCUCUAUCAGCAGGGAAGAUAAUGACGGUACCUGACUAAGAAGCGCCGGCUAAAUACGUG